UUGUUUAUGAUGACAACCUAUCUCAGCUCACUCAGAUAAUUUAUGAUCGAUAAACUUUCCUAUCCAACAUUCAUCAAAUAGUUUCUGAUCAAUCA
rnacentral:snoRNA from 1 species